rnacentral:lncRNA from 10 species
AGUGGUUUGGAAUCAUUUUAAAUUGGCCAUUAGAAGUAAUGGCAGCAGGUUUGAGGGUCUAGAAGUAUUAUAUAUUGUGUACUUUAUCAGUAAUUUUUAUGAUAUUUAUGAAGCUCAGUAUGGCUGAUGUUAAGAGACAGGGUUAUUAGCACUUCAGAACAUAAGAAUGGAAUUUAAAAUGACCUUAGAAAAAUUGAGAGGUGUUGAUCCUAAAUAGGAACACAUGUGGGGAGAAAAGACAAAUGCACUGUAACUGCAGUAUGCAACUGUGUCAGGGAGGAAUUUAGAAGACCAAAUUCAGAAUCACAAAGUAUUAAUAAUUCUUGUAUUACAUUCUUCAGACUAUUACUGGAAUACUAUGGUCAGUCUCAGUCCCACCAGUUUAAGAGAUUUGUAACAAAUUGUAUGAGAUUUAGAGAAUAUAGAAAAUAAUUAAAGGUUAGAAAUUUAGGAAUGUGAAAACAUAGAAAAUAAGUUGAAUUUUAGUCAUGUAAGGUCUCAAAAUAUUUUACCUCUCAUGUUUUCAUUCUCAGAAGCUACUCAAGGAUGUGCUCCACCAAAAUGAGGAUAUGAAGCCAAUAUAAAGGAAGGCAAUGAAUACAAGAGACAGGCAAAGGGAGUUCCCAGGACAUAAGCAAGGGACGUCCCAGGUAGCAAGUGUGCACCUGGUGUCCAGGGCCAUCUGUCCAGGGAGAAGUCAGCUGCCAUGUCAUGAAGACGCUCGAGUAGCCCUAUGAGAUUCCCAUGUGAACAGAAAUUGAGUCCUCCUGCCAACAAUCAGCCAUAAUUUGCAAGACACGUACAUGAGCUACCUUAGAAGAGAAUCCCUGGGCCCCAGAUAAGCCUUCAGGUGAAUGCAGCCCUGGAAGACAUCUUAACUGCAACCUCAUGAGAGACCCUGAGCCAGAACCAACCAGCUAAGGCACUGCCCGAUUCCUGACCUACACGCAUGGGGGUGUGAGAUAAUGUUUAUUGUGCUAAGCCACUAAGUUUUGCUAUAAUUUGUCAUGUAGAAAUAGAUAAUGAAUACAUGCUGGCAGGUAGGAAGGAAAUCAUCAGAGACAUGUUCAGGAAGAAUUAAUACUAGGAAAGAAAGUGUACCCCCACCCCCACCAAAAAACCAUGGAUAUGUUUUUUAUGCAUUUAAAAAUGCAUAUUAAAAUUAUAAUGAGAUUCUACUUUUCAUGAGAUCAGCUAAAAUUGAAAUCUGAUAGUACCAAGUGUCUCAUACACUGCUGUCAGAACAUAAAUUGGUACAAUCAGUUUUCAGAAAACAGUUUUACAUUACCUAGUAAAGGUGAAGUUACACAUACCACCAGAUAGAUUAUCAACAUCCUACCCUUAUAUGCACACACCAGAAAUAAGUGCACAUGUACAUCGAAAAAUAUGUACAUCAAUGUUCAUAGCAGUAUUACUCAUAAAAACCUGAAACCAGAAACAAGUAUCCCUCAACGGUAAGAAAAUUGUGGAAGAUUCAUUCACUAGCAUACUGUACGUUAAGUGAAAAUCAACAAAAUAUAGCUACAGGCAAUAAUGUGGAUGAGGCUUAAAAACAAUGUUGAGUGGAAAAGGUCCCACACAAAGGAAUAUAUAUAGUAUGAAUCUAUUUAUGUGAAGUUCAAAGGGAGGCAGAGUUAAGCUAUUUGUUUUAGGGAUGAUUACUUAGGAGGUAAAUACAUAAAGAAAAGUAAGAAAAGUGAAUACCAUAAAUGUCAGAAUAAUGGUUUCUUUAGGGAGGAUUAUAUACAGGUUGUGAUUGGAAAGGGGCUAUGGGUGGGGGCUUUCGGAGGUGUUUACAAUAUAUCAUUUCUUUUUUUUGUUGUUUCCUUUAAAAAUCAUUCCUAUUGGCCAGGCAUGGUGGCUCACUCCUGUAAUGCCAGCACUUUGGGAAGCCGACGUGGGUUGAUCACUUGAGCCCAGGAGUUCAAGACUAGCCUGGCCAACAUGGCGAAAGCCCGUCUCUACUAAAAAUACAAAAAUUAACUGGGCAUGGUGGUACACACCUGUAAUCCCAGCUACCCAGGAAGAUGAGGUACAAAAAUCGCUGGAACCUGGGAGGAGGAUGUUGCAGUGAGCUGAGAUUGAGCCACUGCCCUCCAGCCUGGGCAACAGAGACUCUGUUUCAGAAACAAAAACAAAAACAAAAGCAACAACAAAAAAAAUUCCUAUUGAAAUUUAACUUACAUGUGAUAAAAUUAAUGUAACAUUUUAUAUAUAUUAUAUAUAAAAUAUAUACUUAUAUAUUAUAUAUACUUAUAUAUAAUGCAUUAUAUAUGCUUAUAUAUAAUGUAUUAUAUAUGCUUAUAUAUUAUAUAAUACAUCUUCUAAUAUAUGUGUGUAAUAUAUAAUGUAACCUGUAUAUCAGUUUCACAGAUGUUAACUUAACAAGCAAAGUUCAUUGAACCAUGCAUUUGUAUUCUAUGCACUUUGUUAUAUAUCACAGUUUAAAAGGUCCAAAGUAGAGUAUAGACAGGCACAGUGGUUCAUGCCUGUAAUCCCAGCACUUAGGGAGGCAGAGGCAGGAGGAUAGCUUGAGCUCAGGAGUUCAAGACCUGACGGGGCAACAGAGCAAGAUCCUGUUCUCCACAGACAGGAAAAGAGAAAGUAGAGUAUAAAUACAGCAUAGGAUCUUGAAAAUCAGACUGGAUCAAAAGGUGACCAUGAACUAGCAAUUAAGGUUCUGUUUAAAAACAACUAACACGUGUUGGGACAUAAGAAUUAGGGUAGCACACAAUAAACUAUCUCCUGGCUUAUAUUUUUUAAAUAUCACUGGGUGGGUCAGUAGUCUGAACCUGGUUGCCAAGGCAGUUCCUAAACCUGGGGAGUAUGACUGAUAAGUUUUUCACCUUGACAGCAGAAAGCAGUUGGGCCCAAGAGAGGGUAGGCUUGAUGCUAGCAAAAUUAUGAAGAUGAAGCCUUAAGUACCUUAUCUUGUUUGUGCUUGCCCCUUGCUCUGCUUCUCUACACCUUUGGAUUCUCAGCAGCCUGCUGCUUUUCUACACCUUUGGAUUCUCAGCAGCCUGUGUAUUUGUGUACUUAUCCCCCUUCCCUUCCUGUCAUCUACCCAUUUCCAAAGCCAAGGCAGGUCUAAAGUCCUGCUUUGUUGACUUCUGGUUCAAUCAGGGGUGUUUCUAUCAUAUCACACUGGCUGAAGGUAUUUGUACCUUAACCUUGAUCUCUGAUUAUGAAUGAAAGGUUUUGGGUCCUAUUAAAGAAAUUUUCAUCACCACUGACUAGUUAUUUGAGGUGUAUUUUGGGUGAGGUGGGCCUUGCUGCCCCUGGGGUAGCACCUUGUAAGCUCUGGUAUGGUAUGCCCUGGGGAGAAGGUGUCAGCUAACUUUUAAAAAUCACUGCAGGUGAUUCAGAUAUGACAACCUGUAUCCUGUAUGACAACCUGCCUUCUGUCCACACCCCGUCUCUCAAUGAGAACCACCUUUUACAGGAAGGCCACUCAUAAGCAGAUAUAUCUAUUUAUUCAUUCAUUAAACAACUAUUUCUUGAGCUCUAACUGUGUCUGGCUAUGGGCUAGCACUGGUGACUCAGGGUUGAACAGAAACAGGCAUAGGCCAUGCAUGGUUUAGUGCAAGACACACAUUAAUCAAGGCAAGCAGGUAAAUGUAAAGUUACCAGUCAGGUAAGUGUCGUAAAUCUGGGUUUACUCAACAUAAAGACAGGUGAAUUGAGAGUUAGCUUAAUAAUUAUGAUUUUCAAGUAUAAGAUGAAUAAAUUAUGUAGAGGAGAAUAUUAUACACUGUAAAAAAGACAUAAAAAAGGAAGUUUGCUGUAGCAUAAAGAAUUUAAGGUAAUGGCUACCAUAGUCAGAGGGCCUGCUCUGUGCCAAGCAUGGUGUUAUUUUAUUUUAUUUUUUUAUUUUUGAGACUGAGUCUUGCUUUGUUGCCCAAGCUGGAGUGCAAUGGUACGAUCUCAGCUCACCAUAACUUCUGCCUCCUGGGCUCAAGCAAUUCUCCUGCCUCAGCCUCCCGAGUAGCUGGUACUACAGGCAUGCACCACCACGCCCGGCUAAUUUUUGUAUCUUUAGUAGAGACAGAGUUUCAUGUGAGCCAGGCUGGUCUCGAACUCCUCACCUCAAGUGAUCCACCUGCCUGGGCCUCCCAAAGUGCUGGGAUUAUAGGCAUGAGUCACUGUACCCAGCCUGCUGUUAUUUUAUAUAUUAAAAAUUUUACAUAAAUAUAUUUUACAUAUUUUUAUAUUUUUAUAAAAUAGUGAUUAUAUAUUAUCAUUUAUUAAACUCAUAUAUAUUGAUAAAGCCUCACAGAACCCUACAGAGAUUUAAAAAAGCAAUACUUAGAGAUAUUAGAUAAUCUGUUCUAGGUCACCCAACAUAUAUAUAUUUAAUAACAGCUUUAUUGAUAUAUAAUUCACAUACCAUAACAUUCACCCUUUUAAAAUAUAAAAUUCAGUGGGUUUUAGCAUAUUCAUGUACUUGUAAAUUACCACUAUCUAAUUUUAGAACAUCUUCAUCACCCCCAAAGAAAUCCUGUACACAUUAGCUUCUACCUUUCAUUCCCCCUCACCUCUGCCAGUUCCUGGUAACCACAAAUCUACUUUCUUUCUGUAUGGAUUUGCCUAUUCUGGACAUUUCAGUAAUGUUUUCAAGAUUCAUUCAUGUUAUAUUGUAUAUCAGUACUUUGUUUCUCUUUGUUGCUGAGUAAUAUUCCAUUGUAUGAAUAACCUCAUUUUGUUCACUCUUCAGUUGAUGAACAUUUGAGUUGUCUCCACUUUUUGGCUAUUAUAAAUAAUGCUGCUAUGAAUAUUUAUGUACAAGUUUCCAUGUAGACAUAUGUUUUCAGAUCUCUUGGGUUUAUUUCUAGGAGAAGAAAUGCUAGAUCAUGUGGUAACUCUAUGUUUAACAUUUUGAGAACCGCCAAACUAUUUUCCAAAGUGGCUGCAUCAUUUUACAACCUAUCAGCAAUGUAUGAGGGUUCCCAUUUCUCUACAUUCUUGUUAACAUUAUUUAAGGUAUCCUAGUGAGUGUGAUGUGGUAUCUCAUUGUGGUUUUGAUUUGCAUUUCCUCACCAGCUAAAAUUCAUGAAAUUCAGAUUCAAGUUCAGGUCCAAAGCCAGAGUUUUAGCCACUGUGCAAUACCAUCUCUCUCAUGCUCCUAGAAGUAAGGAAGAAUACGUUGAUAAGAUUGUAACGCACUGGAUUGAAUUUUAAUUAUCAUCUGGGUAUUCACCUCUAGAAGCUUUUAAAAACAAGGGCUUUUUUGUUGUUGUUGUUUUGUUUUUUUGAGACAGUCUUGCUCUGUCACCUAGGCUGUAGUGCAGUGGCGUGAUCUAGGCUCACUGCAACCUGUGCAAUUCUCAUGCCUCAGCCUCCCAAGUUGCUGGGAUUACAGGUGUGUGCCAC